GAAUAACACUACUGACGCUAGGGAAGUCGGUGAAAUGGAAAAAGGUGUCGAAAUUUAGAUUUUGUUCUAAUAACCAUGACGAUUAAAGACAUGAUAUUGUAAAUAUUCUACACAAUGCAGGUGGGAGAGUUUUAUCGCAUUAUAUUAUUUUAUCUGUAUUUGUUUUUAUUUUUAUUUUGCUAUUUUCAAGUCUGUUUCCCUGUUUUGUUUUUUUUUCCAUCAUUUUUUUUUAUUAUUUCUUUUAAAUAGUAAUAAAUACAGUAUUUAGAAAUUGCUCUUGUUGACUUUUUCGUAGUACGUUAACUUCUUUCUUUCUUUCCUUCCCCCUUUUGUAAAAUUUUUUUUCCUCCACAUUUCCAGCUUUGCGUCCCCCCCAGUGGCCCCACCUUCGGCAGUCUGGCGACUCAGAACAGCACGCCGACUUUCGGUAAUCUGGCUCAGCAGGGCCCGGGAUUCGGAGGUCAGACCGGCGGGUUCUCAGGCUUCGGUUCUUCCGGAGGUUUCGGGGGCUUCGGGAAUACGAAUACCAAUCAGUAAGUCAGCAUUCCAGUCAACACUGAUGAUAUAUUCGUAUCGGACACGCGGUUUUGCUCAGAGUGAUGAAACGUACUUUUAAAUGCAAAGAGAAAAUUAAAAAAGAAAUCUACCAAAAGAAUGCCACGCGUAUUUUUUUUUUCUCCCCCCCCCCCCCUGUCCUUUUCAGCCGUCUUUGGGCUUUGUGCUAAUUUAUAGCAUUUACUUGUGGCUAGAUUCCUCGGGGAUUCUCAUGUGUCGACUCUUGAUGUCUUUAGAGUCAUAGAGUAAUGCAUGCGUGGAGAAGCGAAAAUUUAUAUUUCUUUUGUUUUGUUAAUUUUAUUUUGUUCUAGGUCGUCUUCUCAGACGUUUGCCGGUUGGAGAAGCUAGUUGCCGGAAACUCUGCUGUUCUCACACUCUCCAAUCAGAUUAGCGUUUUUGGAAACUGGGAUCUCUGCGCACGUUAAAGCUAAAUAAAAAUACUCUGAGGUCAAACUGACUUCCGUAGUUUCACGGUCUGAAAUCUCGGUCGCGUUUUAAAACCCGGCGCUGACCAAUCCUUUAACAAAGCCCAGCUACGUUUUUUUCAUCUGCACACCUUCAAACACCAACAGUCUCCAGUAAAACUAUAUCAAACGCCAACGUUUACAGUUAAAAUGGCCGACAGACACCUGCGUCGUCCUUCAAAAUACCACCACAAACCAUAAUUCUUUCUGAAAGCUACAACAUUCUUCGUUAAAAUCGCUUCAAGCCCCAACGUUCUCCACUGAAGGCCAUCGAUACACCAACGAUUCCAAUGAAAAUACAAUACAAUUUACGAAAAAGACCUACUCGCACUGACGUUUUUCAUUAAAGCACCUUCAAAUACCGACAUUCUCCAUUAAAACAUAACGACACGCCAACGUUCUCCCUGAAGAUGUCACCAGAGAUCAACAUUCUUUAUAGAAAGACUCAGUAACACCAGCGCUUUCAUUAAAACACCAACAAUCGCCAUGGAAAUACCACCAAAAACCCACAUUCUUAUAAAAGGCAUAUUAACACCGACUUUCUCCAUUAAACCAACAUCAGACACCAACAACGGCCGUGAAAAUACUACGAAACGGCAACAUUCGGUAUGAAAGUUCAGGAAACACCAACGCCCCCAAUGAAAAUAUCACCAAAAUCAUUACAAACGGCGUACUAGCAGCAGCGUUUUCAUUUAAAAAGCCUUUAAGCACCAGCAUUCUCCAGGAAAAUGACACGAUAAAACUAAGAUUCUUUAAAAAACGGCCAACACCGACAUUUUCCUCUAAAACACCCACUAAAAUACCCUCGAUCACCAAAAACAAGCAUGAAAACCUCAUGAAAAACCAAUGUUCUUCAUUAGAACACUAUAAUACCCCGACAUGUACCGUCAAGCAGCAACAUUCUCCAUCAAAACACCUUCUACAUGGUCUAUACCUUCUCCACCUCUAUACACCUCCUC
ensembl:lncRNA